GCAUCGCGGGGUUUCCAUGGCGCCGGCGGGAGCUUUUUUGGCGGAAAAUGUGUAGAAGGAAAUGACUUGGCUGUCAAAAUAAUUUUUUUUAUACAUCCGACGUGUCAAGAUUUCACGGGGGGUUGAACUUUUGGCGCAAAAAGCCUCAAUUUUAUCGGCAAUUUUCACCCAAUUGCACGGGGUUUUGGGGCCCCAAAAGUACCCCAAGGGACCGUAAGACUCUCCGGGAAUGUUUCUAGGGGGUUUUCCGGGAAAUCCAUGGGGAUUGUUGGGGAAUAUUUUACCCGCCAAAAGCCCUCGCUUCGUGGUCGGCUUGCGAUUUCCUCCUUGGCAAUGGCGAACUGUGUGUGAAGAACGUGCCGCCUAAAAGUGACAACUUGCCGGUUUUCAUUGCAUUUUUCCAGGUGAAAUACAAGAGUGAUCAGCGUGAAAAUACCUCCAAAGUGUGCGUGAGGUGUUUGUGAAUUAGGGGAGCGUGAAAAAUUCACAGUGGUGUUGUGGACGGUGGCGUGAGGGCACCUUGAAAAGUUGGGUUGAAAAUUUUUCUUCUGUGAGUAGUGUGGCAGCCAUUUCCGCAGCCCACACCGGGAGCUGAGAUAUAUAAUAUUUUUGCAAGAAGAGAAUUUUGGGUGUAGACGGGGCGAUUAGUUCCUGAGAAAUCCCUCUGAGGGUUGCAGCAGGCAAUUUUGCGGACAAAGGGGCUGAAGUGUUGGAAUUUCAUCCCUGCCACGCACACACAUACCCACGAAAAAAGCGUAGCAAAGGGCGAAUUCCCAGGCAAAAAAGGGACGCCGACAUUCCCUCGCUCUCGAAGUUUCCCUCUGUGCCGGGCGAUCAGUGUUGUGGAAAAUCUCACAGGGACACCACACAGGGAGAGAUAUCAAACUGGUGUCCGGAGGAGUAGCAUUUGAACUCCUUGCAUGCCCCAAAGGACCCCCCGAAAAAAUACUUUGUGCUCAGUGAUUGAGGAUUUUUAAUUCAAUUCCACUUCUUCCCCCCCCAAUUUUCGUGCUUUGUGCUUCCCCAAAGGGAUUAAAGAGAGAGAAUUCUGUGUGUUGCCAAGUGUUGUGUGUCCGGAAAAGCCUCCCCGUCUAAGCUUGGAUAGCGCCGUGGUGGGAAAGUUCCUCCCCGAGAAGCUCCAACGCUCCGGAAAGGCGCCAAAAAAGUGAAACAACAAAGACUAUGGAGAGUCAGAGCAGUCCUGAGGAUGUGGCUCGAAAGGUGGUGGCUGUAAAGAGAAAACGAAGAAGUACAGCAGCAGCAGAAGGCAAAAAUGCCGAAUAUCAUCGGCCAGCAAAGCAGCGAAGGGGCCCCCUUUCGCCCUUUGAAUCAGGCGACGACGGGUGGAAUUGCUCAGACACAACGUCAACAACAUCCCCAGCUGUGUCGUCUGAUUGCUUCUCCCCAAAUAGCCUCUCUAGUCCAGCCUCGGUGGGCACAAACACCCUCAGUCCCGUGGGCAGUGAGGAUGUUGAGAAUGCCGGGGAAGUGUCUGUGGAUAGUGCAAGCAGUAGUGCGUGGUCAGCGCGUGGCGAACAGACCCCACAUUCGCGGAAACGCACCAAAGUGUUGACACGGGUUGAGGAGAGCCCCACGCAUGGGGCAGCAACGUCGUAUGCGCCACAGAGUGAGAUGCGCAAGUGCCCACUUCCGGAAUUUUCGUGGGCCAGUGCAACGGCUCUCUGGCGAAAUAUGAUAAAUAAAGAUGAGCACGAUUGGCUCGAAAGGGAGCCAGAUAUGCUAACAAAGCAUCCGGGACUUAUGCCCCGAAUGCGGGCAAUCUUACUCGAUUGGCUCAUUGAAGUGUGUGAUGUGCAUAAACUCAAGAGGGAGACCUACUCCCUCGCAAUGGACUACAUUGACCGCUAUUUAUCGAGAAAUACAGCGGUUUCCAAGACAAGACUGCAGCUUGUUGGUGUCACCUGUCUCUUUGUGGCAGCAAAGGUUGAGGAAAUCUACCCGCCCAAAAUAGGAGAAUUCGCCUACGUGACGGAUGGUGCGUGCACGGAGAGUGAUAUCCUCCAGCAGGAGCUUCUGCUGCUGCAGUCGCUCGAUUGGAAUAUGAGUACAGUAACUGUGAUGGGAUGGCUAACGAUCUACAUGCAAGUCCAUGUGACGGAUCCGAGUAAAUUGUGGAAGAAAACUUCCACAGCAUCCGCGCGUCCUCCGUGUACGGCACCAACGUCAAUGCCGCAGGUGAAUCCCGAUGCCGUGGCGUCUCUCCUGACACCGGAUAAGUGUACACCCACCAAAGAUGUGGCAGAAGCGAACAAGACGGAUGAUGCAUUUGUUUAUCCGCAAUUUUCGGGGAUGGAGUACGCACACACGUGCCAACUUCUCGAUCUCUGUUCCCUGGAUAUGGGAAUCCUCAAUUAUCCGUACUCUGUUGUUGCUGCUGCUGCUAUUAGUCAUGUUUACAGCAAGAAAGUCGCCACGCGUGUGUCUGGCUUGGAAUGGGCAAGCAUUGAGCCAUGUGCAAAGUGGAUGGAGCCAUUCUUUCGGGUGAUCAACGACGAUACCACCCCUGUGUUCCAUUUGGAGCAAACAGAAGCGCUGCCAGUGUCGUAUGGUGUUGGACAUUUCUGCCCCAAUGCCAAUACAGAUGAAUCCUACAAGAUUCAGACGCACACCAUUUCGCUAGAGAUGUUUGACAGCGUUAUGCGACGCCGUGAAGAAGAAGCGCAACAGCAGCAACAAGUAACGUCAGAGUUACACAUCACAUCACUUCCGGAUGCUUCGACAUCCAUUCAGGCUGAUCCCUGCCCGGUGGGGCUUCUCACGCCACCGGCUAGCAAUAGGAAGUCCCUCGAUGUGCAGCCAGAGUCUGAUAGCAAAGAGGAUAACGUGAAGACUUAACAUUGGCUCCUUACGAGACAUCCAAACGUGCGUCGGCUGGGAAAAGUUGUAGUUUUGUGUGUACAAAAAAGGGAAGGAAGAAAGGAAGCAUCCUAACGUUAUCUCUAAAGACCGUGCCAUUUCUCAAACAAAAAGAGAAUUUCUCCCACUGAAAAAUGUUUAAGAUUUGUUUAUUGUUUAUUUUCCCUUUGUUCUUAAAUUCAUUAUUUUUUUUUUCAAAAAUUUAUCUUUAAUGUUUUGAAGGUGGAGGAAGAAAAAAAAAGAUUUCUAUUCUAAAUAUCCCUUAAAAAAUAUUAUUUCCGUACAAAAUUUGGCAUGCAAAGUUCGUAUUUUUUAUUGCAUUCUCUAGAAGUUUUUCUUUUAAUUCAAAUAUAUAAAAAAAAGUAUAAAAAACACCACUUAAAAACGCUUUACAAAAAAAAAUUAGUUAAUAUUUUCUUAAUGUAAAGUUAGAAGAAAAAAUAUUUUGUAUAUUUUGAUUUUAGUUUAAUAUUAAUUUAGUAAAAAAAACAAAGUUAGAAUGAAAAUAUAUAUUCUGGUUUGGUUUGACAAUAAUGUUUAAUAUUAAAAAAAAAGAAUCUAUUUUUAAAAUGAUUUAUUAAAAUAUCUCUAAAUUAAAAGAAAAUUAAUGUAGUAUUUAUAAUAAAUUUAAACACACACAAUAUAAAAGAAUUAACAUAUCAUUUGUUUCAAGAAUGUAAAAUUCAAAAAAUAUAUUUCAGAAAUGUUUCAAAGUUUAAAGCAAACAAAAAUAGUUGGGGAUGCAAGAAAAAUAUUUAAAGAGAAUAAUGUGAUAUGGCUCUUAAUAAAAUCUCACAUUAAAAACAAAUUUUUAAAUAAUAAAAAAAAAA